UGGGAAUAUUGCACAAUGGGCGCAAGCCUGAUGCAGCAAUGCCGCGUGAGUGAAGACGGCCUUAGGGUUGUAAAACUCUUUCGCUAGGGAAGAUAAUGACGGUACCUAGUAAAGAAGUCCCGGCUAACUCCGUGCCAGCAGCCGCGGUAAUACGGAGGGGAACUAGCGUUGUUCGGAAUUACUGGGCGUAAAGAGUUCGUAGGCGGACUAGCAAGUUAGAGGUGAAAUCCCAGGGCUCAACCUUGGAACUGCCUUUAAAAGCUGCUAGUCUAGAGACCGGAAGAGGUUAGGGGCAAUACCUAGUGUAGAGGUGAAAUUCGUAGAUAUUAGGUGGAACACCAGUGGCGAAGGCGCCUAACUGGUCCGGUACUGACGCUGAGGAACGAAA
rnacentral:rRNA from 1 species